rnacentral:lncRNA from 1 species
AAAAUUUAUGUUGACUUCGUUGAACGCGUCAAAUUCUAACAAAAUGGAAGCCAAAGCACAGCGUGAAAUAUACCUUUGUCUGUAUUAAUAUGCAUGAAGAUUAGAAGCUUGUAUGUCUCUGAAACAUCAGCAGAGUUAGGCUUUCCCUUUUGCGGCACUGAACUUCACAGGCUGUUUGGAUUUGAAGAGUUGUCUUUAUGACUGAAGUGUUGAUGUCAACUAGCAAGGCUAUAGUGGCAGUUACUGGAAGAAAUAAGAAAACAUAAAAACAGUUGUGUAAGAGUGUUAGUUACCAGUGGAAGGGGAAAUUAAGGAAGAAUGGAACAAGGCUUGAUUAAGAACAAGACAAUGUAAUAAAGUUGUCCCA